rnacentral:lncRNA from 1 species
AAAAAUGUUAAAAAAUCUCAUCAUUUUAUAAGAUUGACCAAAGGAAUACGAGAUCAUUUGCAUAUGUGGCAAUAUUUUUAUAAAGAAUUUAAUGGCUAUACAUAUAUCCAAGAUUUAGAUUGGGUUUCAAAUGCUGAUUUACAUUUGUAUACUGACAGUGCAGGUGGUCAUUCACUGGUUUGUGCAGCUUAUUUAAAUGGGCCAUGGGCAAUUUUACAAUGGCCAUAAUUGGGGCAAAGUUUUAUUAAGUGACAUUACUUAUUUGGAAAUUAUACCUAUUGCUUUGGCCAUCUAUUUAUGGAAAGAAAGGUUUACGAAUAAGAAGAUAAUUUUUCAUUGUGAUAAUAUGGCUGUUGUUACAAUUUUAAAUUCAAAAUCUUCAAAAAAUGACAGGGUUAUGUUUUUGUUAAGAAAAAUAGUUUUGUGGACAUUGUUAUUUAAUUUUCAAUUUAAAGCGUUGCAUAUUUUUUCAAAAUACAAUUUUAUUGCUGAUGCUUUAUCUCGUGGACAGAUGAAGAAGUUCAGAGAAGUAACGAGCAAUGCCGACCGGACGCCACAGACUAUUCCACACGAAUUCCUUAGAUCUUUUGUUAUAGAAGCUUCAAAAUUGUUGAAUUAUUCAAUUUCUCAAAGUACCAGAAAUGUUUAUGAAAAUGCAUUGCAUUCGUUCAAUAUGUUCAGGAUGGAAUAUUCUAUUCCCCUUAGUUGGCCACCAAGUAACAGACAAAUUAUUGGUUAUAUUGGUUUUUUUGUCACUAAAUCAUUAUUCAUCAUUACAAUUAGAUCAUAUAUAUCUGGAAUAAGUUACAAAUUAAAAAUUCAAGGGAAUGAAGAUUUUUAACUAAAUCUUUUAUCAUACAGAAACUUUUGGGUGGUUGUGAUAGACUUUACAACUCUUAAGAUCUUCGGGAACCUUUGACUAUUGAUAUUUUGAUUAGAUUAAAUGUGGCUUUGAGGCACGUGUGCUCUUCUUAUUAUGAAACAAUAUUGUUUCAAACAGCAUUUAACUUAGCUUGCUGCAUUUUUACGUGUGAGUGAAUUUGCCAUUACAACGAAUGUUAUGCAAGAGCAUGUUUUACAUAGGCGGGAUGUUUAUAUUGACCAUCUUAAAUCAGCUGUUUAUUACGAUAAUUUUUUUUUCAAAAACUGAUCAAAAAGGGAGAUCCACUACUUUAGUUGUAAAAAAUAAAUAAAAAUGAAUCAAAUGAGAUUUGUCCUCUACAAAGUUUGAAAGCCUUUUUGCAAAUAAGACCUGGAAAUGAUGGUCCUCAUUUUUGCCAUAUAAAUGGGAAAUCAUUGACAAGAUUUCAGUUUCAGACUGUUUUAAACAAAGGGGGGUUAGAUCUUACCUACACAAAGUUUGGGGCAAGGCUAUUAAACAUACUGAUUUUGAUGAUAUCCAUCCAACUCUUUUCGCUGAUGAUGGCGAAUCUGUCAUAUAUUGGCAAUGACAUUUUUAUUAAUGCUAUUCAGUCAGCAUUAGAGUUGUUUACUAAGUAUCCAAACAGAUUUUUAUAUCCAGAUGAAUUUUAAACUGUUUAAAGUUGCAAGCCAUCGUGCAUGGACACAUGAAGUUGUAUGUCAGUUGAAUAAUUUAUUUCAGUUGUUAAACGCA